rnacentral:tmRNA from 1 species
GGGGGCGUAACGGUUUCGACGGGGAUUUUGAACCUUAGUAAGCGAGUAGAGGUGUGGUGCCUCUAUAAAAACCACAAAUUUACAAAUAACUAACAACUCUCAAGUUGCUCAAGCAGCCUGAUUUUGGCUGCCGUCCUGUUUAGACCUACCGCGAUCUAAAUAAGGACGUCGAUUAGCGGUGAACGUGAGCAAUGGGCUGCCACUCUCAUUGCCACGCAUUGGUGGCUACCGUAAUAAAUUGCCUGUUUGUUGGCGGUUUAUGAGGGGAAUCGUAUAAACAAACUACACUCGUAGAAAGCUUUGGGGAUGAAUUUUCGGACACGGGUUCAAUUCCCGUCGCCUCCACCA